CCUACGGGGGGCAGCAGUGGGGAAUAUUGCACAAUGGGGGAAACCCUGAUGCAGCGACGCCGCGUGAGCGAUGAAUUAUUUCGGUAUGUAAAGCUCUAUCAGCAGGGAAGUAAAUGACGGUACCUGACUAAGAAGCCCCGGCUAACUACGUUCCAGCAGCCGAGGUAAUACGGAGGGGGCCAGCGUUAUCCGGAUUUACUGGGUGUAAAGGGAGCGUAGACGGCGAUGCAAGCCAGAUGUGAAAGCCCGGGGCUCAACCCCGGGACUGCCUUUGGAACUGUAUGGCUGGAGUGUCGGAGAGGUAGGCGGAAUUCGUAGUGUAGCGGUGAAAUGCGUAGAUAUUAGGAGGAACACCAGUGGCGAAGGCGGCCUGCUGGACGAUGACUGACGUUGAGGCUCGAAAGCGUGGGGAGCAAACAGGAUUAGAUACCCGGGUAGUC
rnacentral:rRNA from 1 species